UGCUCCUCCUCCUCCUCCAUCAGGCCAACCCCUCCCUCGGGCCCACCCCCCCCCCACGGAAGAAUCCUUGCCUAGCUGAGGGACACCCACCAAUCGCAGAUGCCGGAGUCACCGUGGCCCCAAUCAGUGUCCCUGAAACCCCACCGCCCGGCAGCGCCCGCCCCUUGAAGAACUCACUUCUUAAGGGGUCCUGCGCGGCCACUUCCCUAAGCCCCAUCUUCCCCGGGUCCCUGAGCAGAGAGAUCUGCACCAUGUCCCCUGUUCCCCGACCGUUUAACUCCCUACCUUCCUACCCCAGCUCCAUCAGUGCCCACUCCUCCGAGGGAUCACACUGCCGGGUGACCAGCAUGACCAGCAUCGGUGAGCGUUAGGUCCCUCCUGUCUACCCUACCGUGCCAUUCAGUACCACCCUGAGGUGCAGCUCUCUGAGAAGGGCAAAACAGGUGUCUUUUCCAACCAAGGGCUGUUUACAAUCGGCGUUGAGGAGAAAACAACCACAGAGGGCCUACGUCCGUCUCACAGUAUCUCAAGGACAAAGCCAGCAGCUGCCUUCUGGGUCACAUCCAAGCUUGUGCAGAUGUGUCCAAAACUGAUAAGGCUAAGCCUUAGCCAAUUAGAAACACGCUCAUGUGACUGAUGCUUGCUUAACCAAUUGUGUAGCUGACUCUGGAGCUCCCCUUGGCUGCAUGUGCCUCUCGGGGUUGUUGAUGUUUUGUACAGGUUCGACCCCGGCAUGCUAGAAUAUUAAGUGCCCUUUGUUCUUGUAUACUGUUUGAGUCCGGGGUCCUCCGUCAGCGCUUCCUCAGACCCUGCAACCAGGGUUGAGCACUGACUCUAGGCUCUCAGGGCUGGGAGUCGAGUGCUCUGUCGCUAAGUUCUACCCCAGCCCCUUCACAGCUGACGUGUGAGCCAGGAAUGCAUUUUGAGCCUGGAGAAGAGAUGCAUUUUGAGCCUGGAGAAGAGAUGAACAUCAGUUAUCCCAGGCUGGACAAGGAAGCCUGCCUGGGUCUCCAGCAUCCUUGAAGGUCUCAUGCAGUCCAGACUGGCCUUGAACCAGAAGACAACCUUGAGUUUUCUUUUCUUUCUUUCUUUUUUUAAAUCGAGGAAGCCAGAUGUGAUGGCUUCCAUGUCUCUAAUCCCAGCACUCUGGAGGCAGGAGCCUGACGUACAUAUUGAGUUCCAGGUCAGCCGGAGCUACAUAAUGGGCCUGACGUACAUAUUGAGUUCCGGGUCAGCCAAGGCUACAUAAUGGGACCUUGUCUCAAAAGCCACAAAGGGAGGUAGGAGGGCGGGAGAGAUGGCUCAGAGAUUAAGAGAGUCUGCUGCUCUGUCAGAGGAUCUGAGUGAACUCCCAUCAGCCCUGUUGGGUGGUCGCAACCACCUCUAACUCUAGUUCCAAGGCAUCCAAAGCCCUGUUCUGGCCUCCUCAAGCAACCCGUACUCAAAUGGCACAUAUUCACACAGACAAAGCCCGCAUAAGUAAAUAAUACUCUUUAAACAA